CGUGGAACGUGGAACGUGGGGGUUGAGAUCUGGAUGUGAAGUUGUGCUGUGGCUGUGGACGGGGAGACAAGCUGUGUAUGAUGAUUAUGGGCUGGAGAUGAUUGAUGUAGUUAAAACGGCUAUCGAGAAGGGAACUCAGUUUGAUCGCCUUUAAGGAAAGAUGACCAUCUAUGGCGACGUACGCAUCUGCCGAUGGACCCUUGCACUACAGGAAUUAGCCUGUACUGUGAAACAUAUCAAGGGAACUGAGAACUUUGUAGCAAACAAUCUAUCAAGAGUGUUUUACGACAACUAGUGUAUAUGAUAUUGAGAAAUUUAUCAUUGUUGGAGAUAGUAUGAUUAUGUUAAGGAAUUUACUAUUGGGGCAUUAUAAUGUGAUUAUAUUGAGAAAUGUUUGAGAAAGGUAUUACUGAUGCAGUAUAGAAUGAUUAUGCUGAGUAAUUUUUUUUAUUGUGGCUUCUCACAUGUAUCAUUAUAGGUUGAGAUAGUCAGACCACGAGCUUGGUGCCCGGCCGGAGAAAAACCAUAGUCCACUCUCAGGACCGAAUUGUUCAAGCUGGAUACACGCCACACUCUGGAUCAAACUGUCCAGGCUGGAUACACGCCACACUCUGGAUCAAACUGUCCAGGCUGGAUACAAGCCACACUCUGGAUCAAACUGUUCAGGCUGGAUACACGCCACACGGUCAAAACGAGGCUUUCUAAGGACUAAAGAAUAAGUAGUCGAGCUCGGGCACCAACAGUGGCUAAUGGAACAAGAGAUGUUUGAUCUCUUUUGAAGAAAAAGAGAUCUGAAGGUGGAGGGGAGGGAUGUUACGUCCCUUACAUGUCCCCUGCUUGUGUGUGUGUGUGUUGUGUGCUGGAACGACAGGUACCCUCCCUUUGGUGUAUAGUUGUAUCCCUUGGUUGAGUGUGUUUACAUGGAGCGAGAGGUGUUCACGUGAGGUGUGUCAGGUGACGGGUGUCAGAGCGUGUGCCAGUGUGUGAAUCGGUUAGUUGUGGUGUGGCUGUGGACGUGGAACGUGGGGGUUGAGAUCUGGAUGUGAAGUUGUGCUGUGGCUGUGGACGGGGAGACGUUGAGUAUCUUGUUAUUUUAUGUUGUAGACUCCAUUUGCUCUUUUAUUAUUCUUAUUACUGUAUAUAUUUAUAUUAAACAUCUUAUUGUUAUUAUUAUAUU